rnacentral:rRNA from 1 species
GAUGAACGCUGGCGGCGUGCCUAAUACAUGCAAGUCGAGCGAACAGACGAGGAGCUUGCUCCUCUGACGUUAGCGGCGGACGUGUGAGUAACACGUGGAUAACCUACCUAUAAGACUGGGAUAACUUCGGGAAACCGGAGCUAAUACCGGAUAAUAUAUUGAACCGCAUGGUUCAAUAGUUAAAGACGGUUUUGCUGUCACUUAUAGAUGGAUCCGCGCCGCAUUAGCUAGUUGGUAAGGUAACGGCUUACCAAGGCAACGAUGCGUAGCCGACCUGAGAGGGUGAUCGGCCACACUGGAACUGAGACACGGUCCAGACUCCUACGGGAGGCAGCAGUAGGGAAUCUUCCGCAAUGGGCGAAAGCCUGACGGAGCAACGCCGCGUGAGUGAUGAAGGUCUUCGGAUCGUAAAACUCUGUUAUUAGGGAAGAACAAAUGUGUAAGUAACUAUGCACGUCUUGACGGUACCUAAUCAGAAAGCCACGGCUAACUACGUG